rnacentral:rRNA from 1 species
CCCUUAGAUGUCCGGGGCUGCACGCGCGCUACACUGAAGGAAUCAGCGUGCUAAAACCAUUGUCGAAAGGCAUUGGUAAACCCAUUAACAUCCUACGUGAUUGGGAUCGGGAAUUGCAAUUAUUUCCCUUGAACGAGGAAUUCCCAGUAAGUGUGGGUCAUAAGCUCGCGUUGAUUACGUCCCUGCCCUUUGUACACACCGCCCGUCGCUGCCCGGGACUGAGCCGUUUCGAGAAAAGCGGGGACUGCUGCUGUCGGGGCUUUCGGGCCUUGGCUUCGGUGGAAACCGCUUUAAUCGCAGUGGCUUGAACCGGGCAAAAGUCGUAACA